rnacentral:rRNA from 1 species
GAUGAACGCUAGCGGCAGGCUUAACACAUGCAAGUCGAGGGGCAGCGGGAGUAGCAAUACUUGCCGGCGACCGGCGCACGGGUGCGUAACACGUAUGUAAUCUGCCCAUCACAGGAGGAUAGCCCGGAGAAAUUCGGAUUAAUACUCCAUAAUAGAAGAUAAAGCAUUUUAUUUUCUUGAAAGUUCCGACGGUGAUGGAUGAACAUGCGACUGAUUAGUUUGUUGGUGAGGUAACGGCUCACCAAGACUACGAUCAGUAGGGGUACUGAGAGGUUAAACCCCCACACUGGUACUGAGACACGGACCAGACUCCUACGGGAGGCAGCAGUAAGGAAUAUUGGACAAUGGCCGCAAGGCUGAUCCAGCCAUGCCGCGUGAGUGAAGAAGG